rnacentral:lncRNA from 1 species
AUGGCCUGCGCCACAGAUCCGGCUCACCUGGGACCGUGUCACCCAGGGCAAGGCCCCCCCCUCCUCACGUCCCCCUCUCCAUCCACUUCUUUCCACCCACCUGGACCUCACGGGCACGGCUCUGCCUCUAGCUCCGGGCUCCAGCUGCCACCAGCAUCAGGGACACAGGAGCACUGGGUGUGGGGCCGGCCGCUGGCACGGGGCUGGCACCUCGCUGUCCCCCCAGCCUGGACACCUUGGUGGCCACCUCGCUGUCCCCCAGGGCUCGGCACCCUUGGAGCACCCCCAGUGGAGCACCCGGUGGAUCCAGGCGAGGAUCAGUGCUCGUUUCCACCCGGCCCCACCAUGGGGUUUGGGGAGCGAGCGGGUGCCCCUUCCCCGGCUGCUGGGGGCACCCCUGGGGACCCCAAAAAUCCCGGGCACCUUUGGAGACGGCGGGGGCGCUCCCCUCCUGGGCGGCACCGGCACCGGGACGGCCCCGGCCGAGCCCCACCACGGCUUCCCCAGCCCCGGGCGCUCCGGUUCCCGCUCCGGUUCCCGCUCCGGUUCCCGCUCCGGUUCCCGCUCCGGUUCCCGCUCCGGUUCCCGCUCCGGUUCCCGCUCCGGUUCGGUUCGGCGCCGCCCCCGCCUCCAGCCCCGUCCCGGCUCCUCCCGCUCCGGUCCCCCCCCGGCCACCUUUUGUCCUCGGCUCCCCGGGCUCCGGCGCUGCUCGGGCCGGCCCCACAGGCGGAGCGCUGCCUCCCGGCUCCUCCUCCUCCUCCUCCUUCUUCUUCUCCUCUUUCUCCUCCUCCUCCUCCUCCACCGCCCCUCGCCACGGCCUUGGCUGGGGACCCGGGGUGGCCCCAGCCCUCGGGGGGUCGCGGCGAGGGGCGCAAAUGCAGACCUGGGAGGCGCACACGCAGGGGUGGAUGGAUGGAUGGAUGGAUGGAUGGAUGGAUGGAUGGAUGGAUGGAUGGAUGGAUGGAUGGAUGGAUGGAUGGAUGGAUGGAUGUGUGUGUGCACGGAUGUGUGCCUGGAUGUGUGGGUGGAUGGAUGCAGGGUGCCCAGGUGGAAAACCAGCAGCUCAGUGCUGACAGCAGCGCUGAAUUUUUGAGCCAGCUUUUUGGUGUGUGCGCCCAGGAGCGCCCGGCGGAGGGCGAGGGGUGGCUGGGUGCUACCAGCUCAGUGGGGAGGGCUGGAGGAAAAGGUGGCAGGGGAGAGGCCGGUCCUGCGUGGGUGGGUGAGCAGCUUGGUGCAGUGCCAAGCUGCAAGUCCUGGCUGCUCUCCUGCUCUCCAAGCCGUGUCCUUGGGAGAGGACAAAGCGGCCGGAGAGGGGGCUGUGCCCAUGUGGGGGGAGAGGAGGAUUUGAGGAAGAAGCUGAGCGGUCUGGCCAGCCGUCUGGGGGCAGGUGAUGACCAGUGUGAGGAGCUGGAAAGCAACGGGCGAUGA